rnacentral:snRNA from 1 species
GUGCUCAUUUCAGUAGCACAUUUACUAAAAUUGUAAUGAUACAGGGAAGAUUAGUAAGGCCCCUGUGCAAAGAUGACACACAAAUUUGUGAAGUGCUCCAAAUUUUU